CAUAUACUCCCUCCGUCUGGAAAUACUUGUCAUUGAAAUGGAUGAAUCUAGAUGUAUUUUAGCUUUAGAUACAUCCAUUUUGAUGACAAGUAAUUCCGGACGGAGGGAGUACUUG
rnacentral:pre_miRNA from 1 species